rnacentral:lncRNA from 1 species
CCGCCCGGCUCCGGUUUACGACGCUCGCGACAUGAUGGCACGUCAGAAAGCAAAUUGCGCCGCGCGAGUGUUUGCUCCGCAGAGCAUGCGUAAAGCCUGCUUAUAUUCUUUUGUGCCACUAGUUUGUUCAUAAGGUGACGAGGGAGCUCGGCGGACUCUGAAAGACACGUUCGGGCGCAGGAAGAAAAAAAAAAACCCCAGUGGCUGUUGCUCGCUCUUAGAUCCCGUAUGGCUCUGGUACUGUUCCUCCUGAUGGCGAUGUUGGUGGCAGGUUCCUUGCAAGAUGCCCCACAGAACGCGCACCUAAGGCUCCGUCGUGGGUUCGGUUGCCCGUACAACAAUUUCGCGUGUUUCCAACAAUGCAUCAGCGCCGGAAAACGCCACGGCUACUGCGGCAAGGGCGACACCUGCGAAUGCAUCGGCUGAGCAAAGCGCUGAAGCGCCCACCUGCGGGAGCCGCUUUGCGACGUCCGUGGCCGGAGGACUCGAACGUCGACACCGCGGUUCGCUCGUUGGCUGGUUGAAGUGCCCGAAUCGUCGAUUAAAUUGACG